CAAGCCCUGUCUUACCCAUAUUUAAUGAUUGUACAGGUGGUAUAUUGACUCCUCAUCAAAUAACAAGCCAUGUCCUAACCUCAGUUAAUGAUUGUAUUCCCAUUAUUUCUAGAGAGAUAUUUGUCAGGCCGCUCAAUAUGCCCUUUUAUCUCUGAUGAAUAUUUUG